rnacentral:rRNA from 2 species
UUUUUGGAGAGUUUGAUCUUGGCUCAGGACGAACGCUGGCGGCGUGCCUAAUACAUGCAAGUCGAGCG